UCAAAACCUGCCAUGCAGAACGACCCGCGAACAAGUCACCUAAAUAGGGAGACGUUGAGUGCCUUAAUGGUGCUCUGCUGAUCCCGAAACUGGGCAAGAGGGCUAACGCCUUCGAACCUAGUACAACCUUGAACCCCGGCGUGAGAAACGCCAAGGAACUUUAACGAGAAACGAUCUUCCUCAACGUGUCGUGAAAGCGGUGUUGUGGGGAUGGUCGUGCCUCCACUAUGUCUAUAACGACUAUCGGCAACGGAUAUCUCGGCUCUCGCAUCGAUGAAGAACGUAGCGAAAUGCGAUACUUGGUGUGAAUUGCAGAAUCCCGUGAACCAUCGAGUUUUUGAACGCAAGUUGCGCCCAAAGCCUUCGGGCCGAGGGCACGUCUGCCUGGGUGUCACGCACUCGUUGCCCCCACAACCUUCACCCUUAAAAGGGUUUGGGUUGGGGGCAGAAUAUGGUUUCCCGUGCGCUCCCGCUCGCGGUUGGCCCAAAAAUGAGUCCUUGGCGCCGAGCGUCACGACAAGCGGUGGUUGAAAUACCCUCCUCUAAGAUGUCGUGUAUGUGAGUCGUCAAUACUAAGGAUCUCUGAGACCCACGAUCGUCCUGCGACCCCAGGUCAGGC
rnacentral:misc_RNA from 1 species